ACACUGAUUAUGAUGUCGAUAGGUGCAAAAAUUGGGAGAUUUCUGAUAUUAAGUGCCUUGUCUGGUUGGAUGGGUUGGACGUGACUUCAGAUUUGGGAUUGUGGUGGGAAACUGGAAGGGAAUAAAAGAUAUACUAGCAAAUUUACCUGGCUCAUAGAAGGUAUUUAUGAGGAGUGUAGUAGUCUCUGCCGGGCAUGCCAUGAUGAGCAGUUCCCAUUGGUUGAAUGCUGAAGGUAAGUUUCUUGGCAGUCCCAUGUCUGCCCAGAAGUUCUCAAGUGAGAAUCAUGGAAGAUGGUUAUGUUAUAAUUGGAGUUAUCUUGUGGACGUUGGUUGGCAAUAAAUAUGCGAGUAUGAACGCAUACAGUAUUCAACUUUCAGGGUUGAUAAUAUAGACUGAUGCUGUAUUUGUGCUUUUGUGUUCUGCUGUGUGGACAAAGUGGUAUUACCACUGAGACUUGGAAUCUCUCUCUUUGACGUCUAGAGAUAUGUUACUUAUUUUGAUGUUUAUUCUAUCUUUCAAAUGUCCUCUCAGUUAUCGAAUCUAUGAAAGCAGAUAUCUUUUGUCCAUUGGUUGCCUUUGCAUAUUUUAAACGUCUGAAUUAUGAUAUUUUGUGGGAGGGGGGGGGGGGAAGAAUACUAGUGUAACCUCUCUAUGAAACUACUGCUAGAUCAGAAUAACCUUGUGCUGCGGAUCUAAAUUGCAAGUGUGUGACAAAACGAGAGAGAAAUUCUUCCUUUUGUUAGUUUGACAUUGUUUUAGCAGCUGAAUUGAAGGAUGUUUAGUUUGGUGUGGAAUGACAAUGCCAGAAGCGAUGGAGGAAUUUUGUUAACUGAACAUUUCAGACAACACUGAAAAUCUUUGUACUUGGUAAUUGAUGGCAUUUUCUGAGUGGUGAGGGGACGGAACUAAAUUCUCUGGUUCUGCUUCGGAAAGGGUAGAGGGUUUUACAAGCGUUUCCUGCUUGAUCACUGCUUUCCAUUUUUGUUUAAUUGCAUUUGAAGGUGGUAGAGAUGCUACCAAUUGUUGCUGGGAAAUGGGCUUCCCUGGCGCAACCUGAUGUUGUCAUUCAUUCUUGUUAGUCUCGCGAGACAAUGUGAUAUUGCGUUUUGUUGGAGAUGUAAAAGAAAUGUAUCUCUCUUUACCAUGUCUAUUUCAUUAUGUAAUAACAACAACAACAAUGAGAAUAAUAAUAAUAAUAACAAUAACAAUAAGAAUAAUAAUAACAAUAAUUACAACAAUAAUAAUAAUACUCCCUCCGUUCCACUUUGAUAGUUCUAUUUUUCUUUUUCAUCUGUCCCAAAUUGUAGUCCACUUUUCAAUUGAAGAAUGUAGUUGUAUUUUAAUUUUUUUAAAAUAUCCUUAUUCAAUGGAAGUUGUUGUUACUAUAAAUCUACUCCAUUUAAUGAGAGUUGAUUCUUUUUUUACCAUCAAUUCAAGUUCCCAUAAAAUUGUACUCUAAUAAAUGUGAGGGUAUUUUAGGAAAAUAGUUACCCAAAUUGAUUGUUCUAUCAAAGUUAAUUACUUUUUAUUAAACUGUGUGGAAAAAAGAACCAGGACUAUCAAAGUGGGACGGAUAGAGUAACAAAACACAGUUAGUUGAUGGGAGUCAUUAUUGUUUCGUUAUGAAGUUGGUGGUGCAACAAAUUACUAUAUCUUUUUACACAGCAAAUGAACUAGAAAAAUACCACUUGAAAGCAGAAAUUCCUGUCAUUCACAAGUUCCUUUUCAUGAAGGUGUACGUGUGUUAGUAAACACGGAAAGAAUAUAUAUUGUCCGCUGCGUUUGUGAUUUUGACCAUAUCAAAGAAACGUAAGAGGCUACUAAAUUAGUCUAGUCCUUAAAAUGUUGAUCAAGCAAUUAUUAAAAGUUUAGAAUAUCCCACUAGGUAAAUGUUUAUACUUAAAGCAAAAUUUUAAUCCUAGACAAAAUGCUAUAUCAAGACCAUGCCCAGCUGAUGUCCUGCUCGAUAAUCUAAUUUAGUAUUUGAACUUAAUAAAUUAAGAUCUUAACAUGUUUAGAAAUGUUUGAUAAUCAAAAAUAGAUCAUCUUAAUUAAUUAAGUGACGGUCUGAAUUGUGUAGGUAAAACUUUAUUCUAAAAAAUAAGUGAUAAACCAUUAUCAUUUAAUAUAGAAUGCAUUCAAAUGUUAGUAUUUUAGUAUUUACACUUCAAUAAAUUAAUAGAUUCAGAUAUCAGUUUUAUCAAAUGCACCCUAUGUCUUGUUCUUAGAUGGUGUGCACUUCGAUUGCUGCUACUAUUCUUAUACCUGAUUGAUGCUAAAAAAAAUGGUAGCCAUACUUGUGGUCUUCACUUUCUUCAUCGACACCCAUCCCCACUGAUGAGGUGAUUUUUGGGUGCGCAAGGCGAGUUGACAACGAGAUCACCUGUCAAAGUAGAGAAUGGCUGGGGUCUAGCCCUUCGGUCAUACUAAAGUCAGUUAUAGAUAAGGAGUUAAAGGAUAAACAGUAGUAGUGAAUCCCCCUUUUCGUGAGGGGUGAGAGGGGUAUUUAUAGUAGAGGAAUCUAUGGGGGAAAAUGAUGAAGUCUACUCCCUCCGUGGCACUAGGAGGAGGCCUAGGGCAGCGGUGUUAGGUGUAGACCUGAGCGGUAGGUAGGGUGCCUGGCGGCUACAUUCCUACCAAUCCUAAGUCGUGUAGGCAGCCAAGGUGUUGAGGAGCCGUAGAAAUAGGUGUAGGUGAGGUGGAAUACUAAUCCAAAAGGUCUCGUCAGUGACCUCGGUCGAAACGAAACGAGAUUUCUUUUAUUUGAACGAGAUGCUCGGACUGAUGGGACCUGAAUAGAUAGGGGUACCCCGAGGUCCUGAGCAGAUCGAGGUGCCCACACCCACCAAGUACAGCAACAAGACAAGCAAGGUACUAUUUUACUUGGCUUGUUAGCCCGAUUCUUACUCGAGCCACCAAUUUUCUUUGAUUUAGGUUAAAAAGACAAAAAGGAUUGUCGAGUAGGUCUUGAUAUAGUGGCUAAUCUAUAAAUUAGAUGUUCAAAUUUAAAUCUCUCUUCCCCUCUCCAUUUCUUAAAUUCCACCAUUCCUCUAUUAAAAAAAUAAUAAAAAAGAAAAGAAAUGGGAUGGUAGCUCAUUGUGCAAACUUUAUUAAUUUGUAGUCUACUUCAGGCAUCAUCACUUUGCAAAUUCGGUUCAUAUGUAUUUGACAUAAAAUGGACCCUUUUGAAUUUUAUGGUUGACAAAGGACAUUAUGAAACAGAUCAAAACUUCGUUAUUUAAUUCUGGAAUAGGAAGAAAAAUGGAUGGUUUUUAUUUUUUUAAAUUUUCUUUUGUUAGGGAGACCACAAUUUGUAUAGCUACUAAUGUCAUGUCACAGUCAUAGGCACUCAGAAUGACUAUUUCAAUUCAUGAGCUGAGAAACCAAAGAAUAAAGACUUGAUUAUGAGAACACUGAACCUUGUAAACAGUUUCUGGUGGCAAGAUUUUAUACACCUCUUUCUAUAAGUCUACAGUCCGCUAUCGCGAUUAGCGAACGAAUGUCUAACUCUGUGCUCUGUGUGUGUGUAAACAAUCAAAGAAUACAGGGGGAAGAAAUAUGUUUGUACAGAAAUAAAAAGAAUGAACAUAACAAGAAAUUGUCGUCUAAGCCACAGCCAUUAUGACACAGUUUGGUCCUCCAAGACGUAUUGGAGCAAUGCAUAAUUGUUGGUGGGCGUUUCAUCUUAGUAUAUGAAUCAAGCUCCAUCUUGUUAGCCUUAUGGAUGUGCUACAAAUAAGCAUAAGUAAGGGAUUGGAGGCUUGCAGUUGCGGCUGAUCCUUCAAAUGUCUUCUGCAAAAACUUUGAAUAUGUAAUCUCGAAAACGCCUCGAGUAUUGUUUAGGAUCCACAGCUGAUAUGGAAGUUGGAUCAUAUUGGAUGGACUUGUAUGCAUGCUCGAGCUUCUUGGAAAUGUCAUAGUCUUGAAGUAUGUCUAUGAUGCUAAAGAAUAUUAUUACAUCAUAGUAUUCUCCAGUUGGUUCUCCUACUAGCUGAAUUUCGCCAUCGUUUUUCCUCUCUGUCCUUUCAACCUUGGCAGGCAUAUUCACUCCCAAUCUGAUGCUAGCCCACCUGUGGUGACAAAAGAUUGUAAAUAUAUUUAGCACUGAAGGGUUACCGAGAGAUUGAUUGUAAUCGUAAGAGAUUGUAGAUGAACAACGGUAAUGUUUUUGUUGAAUAGGAUGACUAAUUACCCUGCAGGAUCCAGAAGCAGUUGAUCCAUGUCUGCUCUAGAAAGGCGGGGAAGAGAUUCUUCUGCACCACCAUUAUCUGCUUAAUGUGGAGAGACGUUUCUUAGUUGUUUCAAAAGUGAUAGCUUCUUUAAUUCUUGAUAAGGAAUUAACCAAGAAAAAGAGGCCAAUAACAUAUAACAGCCAAGAAUAAUUAAUGACUAAAAGAUGAUGAUGGUAUAUGAUGGCACAGGGCUUAAAUUGGUAAUUACCUGUUGGUGUUACACAACCAGGGGGAGUAUGGUCGCAGCUGUUUGUUGCUUCUCUGAAGUGAAGACCAACCAAAAGGCUAUAGUCCAUUAUCCUCUCCUGCUCGAGAAACUCACAGUCCCUGUCAACUUGUCUGCAAGAAGAAGUUUUGUUUUUAACUCCUUGCAAAAGGUGAAGCAGAAAAGGGUAGAGAAAUGACCAAUUUCUCUUUAGUUUGAGAUCUCAAUCCUCACUCUUUGGAUGCAAAUGAAGAUAGAAUUCUUAGGUUUGUCUGUAUGCAGCAUAUCAAGCAAGUUUACUGGUCUGAGAGUUUUUAUACUUAGCCCCAUUUUUUAUUAGUUUAUUUAACCAGUUUUAGGGUUUUGCCGCUAUUGCCAGGAGGUUAAAGGGGUGUUCUAUCGAGUUUGUUGUGGAAAAAAUAUCAAGUGACUUAGAACUCUUUUUAGGGGAUUCUGUCUUGGUUGUACUUAAAAUAAGUCCUUCUGGAGCCUGAUCUCAUGGUUACUAGUUAGUGCAAAUUGUAUAUGUGAUUUUUUUUUCUUCUAAAAGACUUGCAUUCUAUUGCAGGAUUUACUUCAAAAUAUUCAUGCAUGAUGGUUUUGAUGUGCUGUAGGUUCUUUUGCGGAUUAGAUGUAUGUUGCCAACGGGGUUACUGAUUUUAAAGUUCAUCAGUUCAAUCAUUUGAUGGAUAAUGACUAUUCCGAUGGAUAACAAUCCAGAUAAUUCAUCAAGGGAGCGUGUUCAAAAACUUUUUAACAAGGUAUGCUCAUGUGUCCCCUUGUAUUUUCUGUCAUUUGUAUGAUAAGUAGUUGAAUAGGCAUAAUAUCCGUGGUUGUAUUACAGUUACUUGUUUUCUAGCUGGAUAUCUUUCUUGCGGUGAAGCGUGGUAUUCAUUUAUUACAUUUAUUUUGGUUCAUGUGUUCCUUUAGAAUGUUGAGCUGGAAAAUAGGCGUCGUAAGGCAGCUCAGGCCAGAAUUCCUUCUGACCCAAAUGCAUGGCAACAAAUGCGGGAGAACUAUGAAGCUAUUGUCUUAGAAGAUCAUGCCUUUUCUGAACAACAUGAAAUAGAGUAUGCCUUGUGGCAGUUGCAUUACAGAAGAAUUGAGGAAUUGCGAGCACACUUCAAUGCUGCUGCUGCUUCUGUUUCAGCAGGAUCAAAUACAUCACAGAACGGUAAAGGUCCAACACGUGGUGGACCUGAUCGACUUACAAAGAUCCGUACUCAAUUUAAAACCUUCCUGUCAGAGGCCACUGGAUUUUAUCAUGAUUUAAUGUUGAAGAUUAGGGCGAAGUAUGGUUUGCCAUUGGGUUAUUUCUCCGAUGAUUCAGAGAAUCAGAUUCCUUUAUGUAAAGAUGGGAAUAAAUCUGCAGAAGUGAAGAAAGGAUUGAUAUCCUGUCAUCGUUGUUUGAUUUAUCUGGGGGAUCUUGCUCGUUAUAAGGGCUUGUAUGGUGAAGGUGAUUCUAAAUCUCGGGACUUUGCAGCAGCUUCUAGUUACUACAUGCAAGCAGCUUCCCUUUGGCCUUCAAGUGGCAAUCCGCAUCACCAGGUGUUGUAUUUCUUGGCCAUUUGCUUGGUGAUUUACUUUUUUUUUUUUUUCAUUUUGAACAGGUUAUUAGUACAUAGCUUGCCUGAUUUAUUCUGUGAUCUAUUGCUUUUCAGCUUGCUAUUUUGGCUUCCUACUCUGGUGAUGAAUUGGUGGCCAUUUACCGGUAUUUUCGAAGCUUGGCAGUUGAUAGUCCAUUUACAACAGCUAGAGAUAACUUGAUUAUUGCAUUUGAGAAGGUGAGCUUUUCAAAAGAACAAUUUAUGACGAAAGGAGCCUUUAUUUUCUUUUUGCUCCUGCUUUUAGACAAUUAUUCAUUUCAGUGCAGUGUUGCUACUUAAAUUGUGCAUAAAUCAUGGUUACAGUCAAUACUGGUUAAUCUCUGAUUCUCUAUGUUGAAUAUCUUCCUGGGUCUCUGUUUUGUGUAUUUGGAAUGUCUAUUUUGACCAUCUGAGUUGUAUGGUCCUGGGCAAAAACUUGUGUUGGAGAAUCUGCCAUGUCAUAACCAUUAACAAACCAGAGUUUCCAGCACUCGACACAACGAUCUUCCCUUCUAAGUAGUUCUAUCUCACUAAUUCCCAUAGCUCAACCAUCUCAACCCACAACCAUCGGCUGCCAAGACCUGGAUGCCUCUUUCAACCCACCACCAUCGACCGGUAACAUCUGGAUCUCGAUGCCUCUAGACACCACAUUUUAGGGCAAUUUGAUAUCCUUCCACUAUUCUACCAGAUCAAACACCAACAGUACCGGAGACCCUAUCUUAUCCCUCUAACUGCCUUUCCUUCCUUGCUUCACCAUUAUUACAACCACCACACAACUCCCCUUGUGCAUUUGAAGGAGGUCUGUUGUGGUCAUUGGAUGGAGGCAAUUGUUAAGUAGUUGAUUCUUGGGUAAUAAAAUAAAGUUCAGUAUCGACUUGAAAUCAAGAUGUUAUAGCCCUGCCAGUAAAUUGAUUAUAGCAGGUUGAGAGUUCCAUCGUUCCAUUGGUUUAAGCUAGAAAGAAGUAAUAGAAUGGGAAUUUAUCUUAAGUUCCAUGCAUAUCUGGAGUUUAGCUUUUGUAUGGACAAUUAUAUCCUGCACUUUGUACAUGCACUUGCUCAAGUACUAUUUUCUUCUAAUGUUUUGUAUGUUUCUGUUAUUUUUUGUUCAAAUUUGAAUGACAGAACCAUUCUUAAGCUGGUUUUUCCUGCUCCUGCUCCUGCUCCUGAUCCUUGUUUCCUCCUUGAUAAUGAAACAUGAAAUGUUUGUCAAAAUACUGAUUUUAUGAUCGAUUUGGCAGAAUCGCCAGAGCUUUGCCCAGCUGCUCGGAGAUGCCAGAGCUUCCUCUGUCAAGACAACUUCAGUGCGUGGAAAUGGGAAAGGAAGGGGCAGAGGUGAAAGCAGGGUUGCAUCCAAGGAUAACAAAGUAGAAGCAAGUUCUGUCAAGGAAAAAACAUCCACCACAUUGGAAACUUUCAGAGCAUUUGGGAUACGAUUUGUUCGGCUAAAUGGCAUUCUCUUCACACGCACAAGGUAUUACUUUUCUUGUUAAUUGUAGUGUUGUAAAUAUUCGGUACACUUAAUGAUGUGUUCUAUUGCUAAUUUGAAUCAGCUUGGAGACAUUUGGGGAUGUUUUUGCUGUGGUUAGAGGUGAUUUGCUGGAGCUUCUUUCUUCUGGGACUGAUGAGGAGUACAAUUUUGGGUCAGAUGCUACUGAUUGUAGACUGGCUAUUGGCAGAAUGGUUGCUAUUCUCAUUUUCACCAUUCACAAUGUGAAUAGGGAAACUGAGAACCAGUCCUAUGCUGAAAUUCUUCAACGCUCGGUCCUACUGCAGAAUGCAUUUACUGCUACUUUUGAGUUUAUGGGCCACAUUCUUGAACGCUGCAGCCAAUUAAAUGAUCCUUCAUCGAGCUAUCUGUUACCUGGUAUCAUGGUUUUUGUGGAAUGGUUGGCUUGUCAUCAAGAUAUUGCAGUUGGAAGUGAAUUGGAAGAAAAACAAGCGAGUGCUAGGUUAUUUUUCUGGAACAACUGUAUCUCCUUCUUCAACAGGCUCAUAUCUUCAGGGUUUAUGUUUGUUGAUGAAGAUGAAGAAGAGACAUGUUUUUCUAACAUGAGCAGGUAUGAUGAAAGUGAAACCGCUAACCGGCUGGCAUUAUCUGAGGACUUUGAGUUGAGGGGAUUUGUUCCUCUUCUUCCUGCGCAACUCAUUCUUGAUUUUUCAAGGAAGCAUUCCUUCAGAAGCGACAGCAAUAAGGAAAAAAAGGCCCGUGUUCAGAGGAUUAUAGCGGCUGGAAAGGCUCUUGCUAAUGUGGUCCGGAUUGGGGAAGAGGGAAUUUACUUUGACACAAAAUCGAAGAGAUUUGUUGUUGGCGUUGAACCUCAAGUUUCUGAUGAUUUUUCACUUACUACUACUUUGGAAGCCCCAAAAUUAAGUGGUGUAGUGGAGGAUAAUCUAGUUUCAGGUCAAAUGACUCCUAGGGCCUUGGAGCAAAAGCCGCAGUUGUACAUGGAAGGUGAAGAAGAGGAUGAUGAGGUAAUUGUGUUCAAGCCAUCUAUGACUGAAAAGCAUUUAGAUGGGAUAGCUUUAAAUCCGACUUCUUCAGAGGUAUUUGGAUCUACUAUGAAUGCUGCCAGUAUAGGGGGUGAUGUUGGAUCUUUCUCUACCGGACGUGAGGGUUAUAUUGCACAGAAUGCUUUCAGUGCAAGCUUAAGGCCACCUACUUCCCUUGUGAAUUCUAGUUAUCUGCAACCAGUUCAACCAAGUACCACUUGGAUGGCAGAACAAGGAACUCUUGUGAAUGGGCUUGGUAAUUUGAAUUUGUUCGAGAAUGGGUUCAUAAAGAAACCUGAAUCGCAAAAACACUUUGGAGCUUUGCCAGCUCAAACCUUUCCUGUUUCCCUUCCAGACUCGAGUUUUGGCACUGGCAGCAAUUUCCCUAAUCAGUUACCCGAAACUGUGGUACCUUCAAAGCUUGAUUCAAUCAUGUCUCUAGGAGCUGAUAACAUAUCCAUGAAGCCUUCAUCAGUCUCACCUGCUGGGUUGAAGAAAAAUCCAGUAGGUCGACCUCUUCGGCAUCUCGGUCCUCCACCUGGCUUUGGUUCUGUACCAUCCAAAACUGUUGAUGAGUCACUAUCUGCUAUGUCCUUUAAGAACGAAAAUGCUACCAUUCCCCAAAUGGAUGAUUACAGCUGGCUCGAUGGCUAUCAGUUGCCUCUGGUCAAUAGAAGUGUGGCCGGGCUUAAUAGUUCUAAUCAUCCAGGACAGGGUUACCCUAUUGGUAGCAAGAGCAGCAGCUCAAUGGGGAUGCCGAGCUUUCCUUUUCCUGGGAAGCAGACAACUACAUUGCAAGUCCCAAUUGAGAAUGAGAAGAGUUGGCAGGAUUACCAGUUCUCUGAACAGAUGAAACUAUUCAAGGAGCAACAGCAGCAACUUCAGAAAGCAAAUCAGCAAUCUGCUGUGUUGCAACAGCAGUUUCAGGGACAAUCUCUUUGGGAAGGUCGUUUCUUUGUGUGAGAGAUUAUGAAGGGUAGAUGGUAAGAUGCAUAACUUUCUGUUUGAGCCUCGUGUUCAAUAAAUACUCAAUUUUUUAUUUCAAGAUUGAAAUGCUUAUUUUGCUCUUUUCUUAUUUGUGAAGGUUGUGAACACUUUACAACAGCAGUUGUCCAGUUCUUGGUGCUGCAAGUUCAGCCAUCGUGCAUUUGCAGUGUGGCCAAUGUUAUUAAGUUUUUCUUGGAGCAUGGAUGGUCUUGGAAUCUAGCAGGCACCUGCUAUUGAACGGGUAUAUCUUUUGUACCCCUCUCUGUGGCAAGUGUAAAGUCUGAUUUUGUUGACCACUGUGCAGUUGUAUGGAGAUGGUUUAAGGACUAAAAGAAUAAUUGGAGAUUUAUGUUAGGGCAUAUAAUGAUUGGCGCAUUGUGCAUCUUACACGCUCUACUCAUCUCUUUGCUUGCGUUGCUGGUCUGUUUUACCAUUCUAUGUAACCUGUUACAAGCUAUGCUAUAGAUAAGUUGGAGGAUGUGGGGGAAUGAGGAUCAUUUCCUGUCCUUGCACUUCUAUAUAUUAAAGAAUCUUUGUGAUGUUCUGAGGAUGUGUGUGCAAUUCUUUAUGAGUACGUGCAAUUCUUUAUGAGUACUGUGAGUGGUGAUAGAAUAUUUUCUUGUGACAUUGCUAACACAUUUUUUUUUUAAAUUGCUGUGCAGCUGGUGCCGAGCUUUCCAGGCUGGUUGACACUGAUUAUGAUGUCGAUAGGUGCAAAAAUUGGGAGAUUUCUGAUAUUAAGUGCCUUGUCUGGUUGGAUGGGUUGGACGUGACUUCAGAUUUGGGAUUGUGGUGGGAAACUGGAAGGGAAUAAAAGAUAUACUAGCAAAUUUACCUGGCUCAUAGAAGGUAUUUAUGAGGAGUUGUAGUAGUCUCUGCCGGGCAUGCCAUGAUGAGCAGUUCCCAUUGGUUGAAUGCUGAAGGUAAGUUUCUUGGCAGUCCCAUGUCUGCCCAGAAGUUCUCAAGUGAGAAUCAUGGAAGAUGGUUAUGUUAUAAUUGGAGUUAUCUUGUGGACGUUGGUUGGCAAUAAAUAUGCGAGUAUGAACGCAUACAGUAUUCAACUUUCAGGGUUGAUAAUAU
rnacentral:lncRNA from 1 species